UCCACGCCGCCUCCCCUGUCGAGCGCAACCCCUCCAUACCAUUGCCAGGCGGCGGCGGCGGCGACAAGGAGGAACGACACGCCGGCUUUGUCCCUUCGCGUCGAUGUGGGUCAGCGUCGCAGCGGCGCACACACCCUCCUCCUUCAUGGACUCGCUCCUGCAAGACCGGAGAGGCCUCUCGUAUGCCAGCUCCUCUAUGAGAAGUGAUUCAGUAAGAAGGAAACCCGCCACGUCCUCCCCUGACUACACCGCCGGCCUCCCGCAACCUACCCAGCCUGCGUCGCUGUCGAAGAAGGAACUCUGGGAUCUCAUUCAGGAUUCGGAGUUUGAGAUACUCGACAGCUAGAAAUAAUAAGAGAUCGUGGUUGAUCUCCUUCAUUUAUUUUCUUUCAUUACCCUACUACCCUUCACCUGGUUUGUAAACGGCGGCCUUACAGGUUGUGAAAGGUGCAGCUACUACGAGCUGGGCGUCCACACCUCUGAUCUUAUAGCACUCGAUGCAAAAGCUAACACAGGAAUUGUUAAUUACCACCGCCAUUGUUGUUUCGCCUCUGACCUGAAGUUGCAUGUAUUUAUAUCCAAGAUGGGACCAUCACCAUUCUAACACAAGCCUUGACCCCCUUUUUCCCUGUCAACGGCAUCGAUACCAGCAACCAACAGUUGGGUCGGCGGCAGAUUCAUGGUCGGUACAGCUACUGCCAUCUACAUCACCAUGCUCUGCUGUUUGGUGGUAGUGGAUUCGGGCAUGAAGAUGCAUUGGCAUGUACGAAUUUUGAUGCUUGGUUUGUAAGAACUGUGCAUGCUGGCUAUUCAAUUGUCUCCACACUACAGGAUCUAAACCAGUGGGCUUUAUCAUUUCUGUUAAAUCCUCUUACGGAUUAGCAUUUAUGUAGAUGCUCACGGUAAGCAUUGUACGAGCUGUUGAAGAAAUCAACAAUGGUGUGAUACAUGGAGGGAUGGUUAACAAGGAAGAAUUCCGGCUGGCGCUUUUCAAUAUUAGUAAGACCGAGAGUUUGUUUGCUGAACGUGACCUCCGAGAUAAAGAACACACCGUUUAACAUUCUGUAGGAGUCAUUUGCAGUGGACAAGAAGAAUCAUUGUACUCAACAAUCAGCAUUUUUUUCCUGUCAGUGAGGAGCAUAGCAUGGACUUACUAUAGUAGGUGUCAUUAACCUGCAUAGUCCAUCGUUGCAACUGAUGUUCUUGUGAAGCUUACCGUAGAUUAUAUGUUUCAGUUGAACAACUUGAAGUGGCUGGUGCAACCAAAAGGACUACAUUGAUCUCUGUGCGACCAUCAAAGACAUCCAGGUAC